UACGUAGGGACCAAGCGUUGUUCGGAUUUACUGGGCGUAAAGAGCUCGUAGGCGGUCUGUCGCGUCGGCUGUGAAAUCCCGAGGCUCAACCUCGGGUCUGCAGUCGAUACGGGCAAACUGGAGUGUUGCAGGGGAGACUGGAAUUCCUGGUGUAGCGGUGAAAUGCGCAGAUAUCAGGAGGAACACCGGUGGCGAAGGCGGGUCUCUGGGCAACAACUGACGCUGAGGAGCGAAAGCGUGGGGAGCGAACAGG
rnacentral:rRNA from 1 species